rnacentral:tRNA from 1 species
GGGCCGAUGGUGAAGCGGGAUCACGCCUGCCUUGCACGCAGGAGUCCAGGGUUCGACUCCCUGCCGGUCCA